rnacentral:rRNA from 1 species
GUAGGUGAACCUGCGGAAGGAUCAUUUAUAAUUCAUAAAUGUUCUUCUUGAACUAAUGUGCAAAAAGAAGGAAACUUCUUUUGUAUACCUAUUCAUAGGUUUAAAUGUUAAAUAACUUCCUAGAAAUCUUAAAUUUUCAACGAUGGAUAUCUAGGCUCCUAUAACGAUGAAGAACGCAGCGAAAUGCGAUACGCAAUGCGAAUUGCAGAACCGUGAGUCAUCAGAUUUUUGAACGCAAGUGGCGGCAGCUUCGGCUGUCAUGUUUGUUUCAGUGUGUUCGGUUAAUUACAUCGUAGAACUUAAUGUGAUUGAAGAAAUUCUCUCACCGAGUACGAGCUAGCGUCAGUGCGAGCAUUACACGAAUUAGUCACUAAUAUGGUGAUACUCGUGAAAGUGAUCAAGCUGUAGAAUCGUUAGCUAAUAACCGAAUAUCCAAUUAUAACACCUGAAAUAAGCAAGAAUACCCGCUGAACUUAAGCA